CCUACGGGGGGCAGCAGUGGGGGAUAUUGCACAAUGGGGGGAACCCUGAUGCAGCGACGCCGCGUGGGUGAAGGAGUGCUUCGGCAUGUAAAGCCCUAUCGGCAGGGAAGAAGCAAGACGGUACCUGACUAAGAAGCCCCGGCUAACUACGUGCCAGCAGCCGCGGUAAUACGUAGGGGGCGAGCGUUAUCCGGAUUCACUGGGUGUAAAGGGAACGUAGACGGCCAUGCAAGCCAGGGGUGAAAGCCCCGGGCUCAACCUCGGGACUGCCCUUGGAACUGGAUGGCUGGAGUGCGGGAGGGGCAGGCGGAAUUCCUGGUGUAGCGGUGAAAUGCGUAGAGAUCAGGAGGAACACCGGUGGCGAAGGCGGCCUGCUGGACCAAGACUGACGUUGAGGCUCGAAAGCGUGGGGAGCAAACAGGAUUAGAUACCCUAGUAGUC
rnacentral:rRNA from 1 species